AUUAGCCACAUUAUAGUACAUGAGUUUCCAGAUGUGAUCCAGGAAGAAAUUUUCUGGAUGGAAAAUGAUUGACCUCUUACUCUGUCUGCCUCUGAUACAACCAGCUAGGAGGAUUUACAAAAGUGACUGGUUCUGUUCAGAUAAAAUGACAAGGCUCUUCUGAUGUCCAAGGUAAAAGAAGUAGUCCAGAAUAUGCUGAACUAAAGAACUGGUCGGUGAUACCUCGUUCUGGUGAGACCAGAUGGAGAAACACCUCCAUUUAGCAAGGUCCACUUGGAGAAACCCCCACCACUGGAAGACCUAUCUGGCCACAUCUGGGCACUCAAACGAUCUGCUCAGGUGGUCUGCAAGCAGGAAAGAUGCUUCUAGAUUUACUGAGAUGGCAAUACAGAGUUUCCUUCUGGACGGAGUAGAGAACAGUGGGCUCUCCCCUGCUUCUUGAGGUUAAACAUUGCUGCCAUGUUGUGAGAACUAGCAGGCUCACCAAUCUGAUAGCUUUCAGUUCUCUGACAUUGGUGUGUAAAGCUAAGUCCUCUGAGGACCAUAGAACCUGUAUUUGUAGAAAACCCAAGUGGGCUCCUCAUCCCAGAGCAGAAGCAUCUGUCACUAGGGUGAGAGUUGAUUGUGAGAGAGCAAACAGAACGCCUACACAUCCAUUGGCUGAAUCUGUCUACCAAUCUAGGGAGGUGAGGACAUGGGAGAACACUUUUACUACUGAGUAUAACUCAAGAUCCACUUGUCCCAAGUAAUCUGGGACCAAGCUCUGUGGAAGUGGGAC